rnacentral:rRNA from 1 species
UGAGGAAUUUUGCGCAAUGGGAGCAAUCCUGACGCAGCAACGCCGCGUGGGUGAUGAAGGCCUUCGGGUCGUAAAGCCCUGUCAGGUGGGAAGAAUGUCCCGGGACUGAACAGGUUUUGGGAGUGACGGUACCACCAGAGGAAGCACCGGCUAACUCCGUGCCAGCAGCCGCGGUAAGACAGAGGUGGCAAGCGUUGUUCGGAAUUACUGGGCUUAAAGGGUGUGUAGGCGGUUUAGUAAGCAACUCGUGAAAGCUCCAGGCGCAACCUGGGAACUGCAAGUUGGACUGCUGAACUUGAGGAGCGUAGGGGUCAACGGAACUCUGGGUGGAGCGGUGAAAUGCGUAGAUAUCCAGGGGAACGCCAGUGGUGAAGACGGUUGACUAGGCGCGUCCUGACGCUGAGGCACGAAAGCGUGGGUAGCAAACG